UACGGAGGAUCCGAGCGUUAUCCGGAUUUAUUGGGUUUAAAGGGUGCGCAGGCGGGAGAUUAAGUCGGCGGUGAAAUUUUGCAGCUCAACUGUAAAAGUGCCUUCGAAACUGGUUUCCUUGAGUGUAGAUGAAGUAGGCGGAAUUUGUGGUGUAGCGGUGAAAUGCAUAGAUAUCACGAGGAACUCCGAUUGCGCAGGCAGCUUACUAAACUACUACUGACGCUCAGGCACGAAGGCGUGAGGAUCAAACAGGAUUAGAUACCCU
rnacentral:rRNA from 1 species